rnacentral:rRNA from 1 species
UACGUAGGGUGCGAGCGUUAAUCGGAAUUACUGGGCGUAAAGGGUGCGUAGGCGGUUUGAUAAGUCUGAUGUGAAAUCCCCGGGCUCAACCUGGGAACGGCAUUGGAGACUGUCAAGCUAGAGUGCGUCAGAGGGGGGUAGAAUUCCACGUGUAGCAGAGAAAUGCGUAGAGAUGUGGAGGAAUACCGAUGGCGAAGGCAGCCCCCUGGGAUGACACUGACGCUGAAGCACGAAAGCGUGGGGAGCAAACAGG